UACGUAGGUGGCAAGCGUUGUCCGGAAUUAUUGGGCGUAAAGCGCGCGCAGGCGGUCUCUUAAGUCUGAUGUGAAAGCCCACGGCUCAACCGUGGAGGUCAUUGGAACUGGGAGACUUGAGUGCAGAAGAGAAGAGUGGAAUUCCACGUGUAGCGGUGAAAUGCGUAGAGAUGUGGAGGAACACCAGUGGCGAAGGCGACUCUUUGGUCUGUAACUGACGCUGAGGCGCGAAAGCGUGGGGAGCAAACAGG
rnacentral:rRNA from 1 species